UCCCCGUCCUUCUGGCGCAUGUACGCCACGACGUCAUCGCGUCAUGUUUCAGUUUUUGCCUGGUUGAACCAUAGAGCGUGUAAAGGAACUAGUGAGGACCUAGAGAGGGGUCAGGCGGUGAGGCUGAGGAAGUAACGGGAAACAGCCUCUACUGUGCAUGUUGAGGAAUCCAAAGGGUGUGUGAAGGAAGAACUACUUUGGCACCUUUGAUCUGAGGUGUAAUGCCGUGCUGGGACCAAUCGGUACAGAGGACCAUAGCAGCCAGGUGAGCUCCUGCAGAGUGCCCACACAGGUAUACUCCACUGUGAACAGGUAAGAAAAUACUAUCAAUUACCGGAAACUGAUCACUGCGGCUUUCAACUGGGAUUCAGUUCCAGUCAGGCCUGCAGAGUAUCUAACAGCCUUUUGAAUGGCAGCCAAAGGGCCUUCCCUUACCUGAUGUGGGAAUACUGCUGAACAAUGGACACAAUGCUACGCCGCACCUGAGAUACCAUCAAAUCCAUAUUACCUGGUGAGAGACGGAGAGAAAUCUCAAUGAAAGCAAGACAGAGAGACGUGAAUGGAAAAAAGGGUCAAGAAAGAAGAAGAUGUGGUGGGGGAGGGGUCUGUGUGCAAGGGAAGGAGGAGAAAAUGGAAUAAUACCAUGGAAGAGAAGGAGGAAUUGAAAAAUGUGUGUGAGAGAGAGAGAGAGAGUGAGAGAGGGUGAGAGAUAGAGAGUCAGCAUGUGAGAGAGAGUGAGAGAGAGAGAGAGAGAGAGAGAGAGAUGUCCUCAAGUCACAAAUUUGCAUUUGACAGAACACCUGCUACAUCAAUACGCCUACCUUUAGGGGCGAUGUCAUAAUCUACAGCAGCCACGGCCACGCCCUUCUGUACCAGAGGCACUGCAAUGAAACCUGACUCCUCUUUGCUG